AGUGAACGCUGGCGGUAGGCCUAACACAUGCAAGUCGAACGGCAGCACAGUAAGAGCUUGCUCUUACGGGUGGCGAGUGGCGGACGGGAGAGGAAUACAUCGGAAUCUACUUUUUCGGGGGGGAUAACGUAGGGAAACUUACGCUCAUACCGCAUACGCCCUACGGGUGAGAGCAGGGGAUCUUCGCGCCUUGCGCGGUUGAAUGAGCCGAUGUUGGAUUAGCUAGUUGGCGGGCGUAAGGCCCAGCAAGUCGACGAGCCGUAGCUGGUGUGAGUGGAUGGUCGCCCACACUGGAACGUAGACACGGACAAGACGCCUACGGGAGGGAGCAGUGGGGAAUAGUAGACAACAGGCGCAAGCCUGAUCCAGCCAGACCGCGUGGGUGAAGAAGGCCUUCGGGUUGUAAAGCCCUUUUGUUGGGAAAGAAAAGCAGCAGGCUAAUACCCAGCUGUUCUGACGGUACCCAAAGAAUAAGCACCGGCUAACUUCGUG
rnacentral:rRNA from 1 species